GGUUCUGUAAGCAAUGGAUCAGGAAGCUGAGCAUUUGGUAUCUGCCUGCUACACAUCCAAGCUACUCAGCCUUCCUCAGAGAAGCCUCUUCAAUGAACAAUGGUAAGGCCGAGACUCACGCCUUCACAAGGUACUGAGAUUACAUGACAGAUGAGUACUGAUCCCUGAACAAGACAUCUAUACCUGUCCAGCAAAGGGGACAAGAUCUUCAGGAGCGAACUGUGAGAGAAAUGAAAUGAAGAACGAGUAAAGACCCCUAAGAGAGUCAAAGAUGAAUGAAGAUACUCUUUCCUGAGCACAGGGGCCGGCGGGAUGCAAGGCUUAACUCCCCACCAACUUCCUGCUCCAAAGAUACAAUAAUUUCUACUA